rnacentral:rRNA from 1 species
AUUGAACGCUGGCGGCAUGCCUUACACAUGCAAGUCGAACGGCAGCACGGGAGCAAUCCUGGUGGCGAGUGGCGAACGGGUGAGUAAUAUAUCGGAACAUGCCCAGUCGUGGGGGAUAACGUAGCGAAAGCUACGCUAAUACCGCAUACGAUCUAUGGAUGAAAGCGGGGGAUCGCAAGACCUCGCGCGAUUGGAGCGGCCGAUAUCAGAUUAGGUAGUUGGUGAGGUAAAGGCUCACCAAGCCGACGAUCUGUAGCUGGUCUGAGAGGACGACCAGCCACACUGGGACUGAGACACGGCCCAGACUCCUACGGGAGGCAGCAGUGGGGAAUUUUGGACAAUGGGCGCAAGCCUGAUCCAGCAAUGCCGCGUGCAGGAUGAAGGCCUCGGUGUAAC